rnacentral:rRNA from 1 species
UACGUAGGUGGCAAGCGUUGUCCGGAUUUACUGGGCGUAAAGAGCGCGCAGGCGGUCGUUCAAGUCGCGUGUGAAAGCCCCCGGCUCAACUGGGGAGGGUCACGCGAUACUGAUCGACUCGAAGGCAGGAGAGGGAAGUGGAAUUCCCGGUGUAGUGGUGAAAUGCGUAGAUAUCGGGAGGAACACCCAGGGGGAAACCAGCCGACUGGGCAUCUGCUGACGCUGAUGUGCGAGAGCGUGGGGAGCGAACCGG